rnacentral:rRNA from 1 species
UACGUAGGGGGCUAGCGUUGUCCGGAUUUAUUGGGCGUAAAGAGCGUGUAGGCGGCCAGAUAGGUCUGCUGUGAAAACUCGAGGCUCAACCUCGAGCUGUCGGCGGAAACCAUUUGGCUAGAGUCCGGAAGAGGAGAGUGGAAUUCCUGGUGUAGCGGUGAAAUGCGCAGAUAUCAGGAAGAACACCUAUGGCGAGGGCAGCUCUCUGGGACGGUACUGACGCUGAGACGCGAAAGCGUGGGGAGCGAACAGG